rnacentral:rRNA from 1 species
CACGUAGGAGGCGAGCGUUGUCCGGAAUCAUUGGGCGUAAAGAGCGCGCAGGCGGCUUGGCAAGUCGGGUGUGAAAUCCCGGGGCUCAACCCCGUGACUGCAUUCGAUACUGUCAGGCUAGAGGUAGGUAGGGGAGAUCGGAAUUCUGGUGUAGCGGUGAAAUGCGCAGAUAUCAGGAGGAACACCGGUGGCGAAGGCGAACACGUGGGC